rnacentral:rRNA from 1 species
GAGUUUGAUCCUGGCUCAGAUUGAACGCUGGCGGCAGGCCUAACACAUGCAAGUCGAACGGUAACAGAAAGCAGCUUGCUGCUUUGCUGACGAGUGGCGGACGGGUGAGUAAUGUCUGGGAAACUGCCUGAUGGAGGGGGAUAACUACUGGAAACGGUAGCUAAUACCGCAUAAUGUCGCAAGACCAAAGAGGGGGACCUUCGGGCCUCUUGCCAUCGGAUGUGCCCAGAUGGGAUUAGCUUGUUGGUGGGGUAACGGCUCACCAAGGCGACGAUCCCUAGCUGGUCUGAGAGGAUGACCAGCCACACUGGAACUGAGACACGGUCCAGACUCCUACGGGAGGCAGCAGUGGGGAAUAUUGCACAAUGGGCGCAAGCCUGAUGCAGCCAUGCCGCGUGUAUGAAGAAGGCCUUCGGGUUGUAAAGUACUUUCAGCGGGGAGGAAGGGAGUAAAGUUAAUACCUUUGCUCAUUGACGUUACCCGCAGAAGAAGCACCGGCUAACUCCGUGCCAGCAGCCGCGGUAAUACGGAGGGUGCAAGCGUUAAUCGGAAUUACUGGGCGUAAAGCGCACGCAGGCGGUUUGUUAAGUCAGAUGUGAAAUCCCCGGGCUCAACCUGGGAACUGCAUCUGAUACUGGCAAGCUUGAGUCUCGUAGAGGGGGGUAGAAUUCCAGGUGUAGCGGUGAAAUGCGUAGA